AGGCUUGUAGCUCAGGUGGUUAGAGCGCACCCCUGAUAAGGGUGAGGUCGGGUGGUUCAAGUCCACUCAGGCCUACCA
rnacentral:tRNA from 1 species